rnacentral:rRNA from 1 species
UACGGGGGGGGGCAAGCGUUGUUCGGAAUUACUGGGCGUAAAGGGCUCGUAGGUGGCCAACUAAGUCAGACGUGAAAUCCCUCGGCUUAACCGGGGAACUGCGUCUGAUACUGGAUGGCUUGAGUUUGGGAGAGGGACGCGGAAUUCCAGGUGUAGCGGUGAAAUGCGUAGAUAUCGGGAGGAACACCUAUGGCGAAGGCAGCUCGCUGGGACGUUACUGACGCUGAGACGCGAAAGCGUGGGGAGCAAACAGG